GACGAACGCUGGCGGCGUGCUUAGCACAUGCAAGUCGAACGGAAAGGCCCUGCUUUUGUGGGGUGCUCGAGUGGCGAACGGGUGAGUAACACGUGAGUAACCUGCCCUUGACUUUGGGAUAACUUCAGGAAACUGGGGCUAAUACCGGAUAGGAGCUCCUGCUGCAUGGUGGGGGUUGGAAAGUUUCGGCGGUUGGGGAUGGACUCGCGGCUUAUCAGCUUGUUGGUGGGGUAGUGGCUUACCAAGGCUUUGACGGGUAGCCGGCCUGAGAGGGUGACCGGCCACAUUGGGACUGAGAUACGGCCCAGACUCCUACGGGAGGCAGCAGUGGGGAAUAUUGCACAAUGGGCGGAAGCCCGAUGCAGCAACGCCGCGUGCGGGAUGACGGCCUUCGGGUUGUAAACCGCUUUCGCCUGUGACGAAGCGUGAGUGACGGUAAUGGGUAAAGAAGCACCGGCUAACUACGUG
rnacentral:rRNA from 1 species